AGAGUUUGAUCAUGGCUCAGGAUGAACGCUAGCGGCAGGCUUAAUACAUGCAAGUCGAGGGGCAUCGGGGUGUAGCAAUACACUGCCGGCGACCGGCAAACGGGUGCGGAACACGUACACAACCUUCCUUAAAGUGGGGGAUAGCCCAGAGAAAUUUGGAUUAAUACCCCGUAACAUUAUGAGAUGGCAUCAUUUUAUAAUUAAAGCUCCGGCGCUUAAAGAUGGGUGUGCGGCUGAUUAGGUAGUUGGUGAGGGUAACGGCCCACCAAGCCUUCGAUCAGUAACUGGUGUGAGAGCACGACCAGUCACACGGGCACUGAGACACGGGCCCGACUCCUACGGGAGGCAGCAGUAAGGAAUAUUGGUCAAUGGACGCAAGUCUGAACCAGCCAUGCCGCGUGGAGGAUGAAGGUCCUCUGGAUUGUAAACUUCUUUUAUCUGGGAAGAAAUGCAUUUUUUCCAAAGUGUUUGACGGUACCAGAUGAAUAAGCACCGGCUAACUCCGUGCCAGCAGCCGCGGUAAUACGGAGGGUGCAAGCGUUAUCCGGAUUCACUGGGUUUAAAAGGGUGCGUAGGUGGGCAGGUAAGUCAGUGGUGAAAUCUCCGGGCUUAACCCCGGAAACUGCCAUUGAUACUAUCUGUCUUGAAUACCGUGGAGGUGAGCGGAAUAUGUCAUGUAGCGGUGAAAUGCUUAGAUAUGACAUAGAACACCAAUUGCGAAGGCAGCUCACUACACGAAUAUUGACACUGAGGCACGAAAGCGUGGGGAUCAAACAGGAUUAGAUACCCUAGUAGUCC
rnacentral:rRNA from 1 species